CACGGUAAUGACUCUGGCGAGCACAUCGCUUCAAGUCUAUGCCUAUCAUUUGUCGUGCUUAAAAUAGCUUCUUGGCACUACGUCGUGUGUGUAUUUCAAAUCAACAUGGAAGUACAGAACGCGGUGCACUGCGAAGCAAGACAUACGGAAGUCGCUCAUGACAAAAUGUAUAAAUGCGUAUAUCAACUUGAAAAGACAAAGAAGGAGCACGUCAAAGCUAUCCAUUCGCAACGCCAUCUUUCGUUGGGACCGACGUGGUAACUAGACCCAGAGAACUUUGACUAAUGAUUGAUGAUAACGAUUCGCGUACCUUGAUUAUUCUCGUUUUCGAACUAGGCUGCUGUAUCACGGAGUGGCCUUCUUCAGCACAGAGUUUAGUAUUAGGACUAUUUUGUGAAUGAUUUCAACUGGUGAUGGCUACAAACAAUAUUUGACUACUAAACAAGACUGCCAAAGUACGACCGUAAUCACUUUCAAAAUGAGGUUGAUUCACGCAAUUUGCUCUGGGAGUAGUCGAAGGGCUCGCAUUUACCACUUUCUAGCAGCCCAAGUUGGUUUUUCAAGGUUUAACUAGUAAGGAGGGUGCAUUCUGUUAACGAAAAUUUCACCCGGUUAGCCUGGUAUAACAUACGUCAUGCUGAUACAUUAGUAGUUCUACGCUCGUACAAGUACCAUGGAUCUUCACGAGAAUGAACAGGGCAUCCGUUCACUGGUACAUAAUAGGACGUAAUAAUAACAAUACCCGAUAUCCAAGUAUACUUCUUGUCUACCGAAGCAGCGUGAUACAUUUAUCUUCCUGAUUUCUUCCGUACUGGUGAAUUCCGUUUCCCUGCAC